rnacentral:rRNA from 1 species
UAGGGAAUCUUCGGCAAUGGACGAAAGUCUGACCGAGCAACGCCGCGUGAGUGAAGAAGGAUUUCGGAUCGUAAAACUCUGUUGUUAGAGAAGAACAAGGACGUUAGUAACUGAACGUCCCCUGACGGUAUCUAACCAGAAAGCCACGGCUAACUACGUGCCAGCAGCCGCGGUAAUACGUAGGUGGCAAGCGUUGUCCGGAUUUAUUGGGCGUAAAGCGAGCGCAGGCGGUUUCUUAAGUCUGAUGUGAAAGCCCCCGGCUCAACCGGGGAGGGUCAUUGGAAACUUGGAGACUUGAGUGCAGAAGAGGAGAGUGGAAUUCCAUGUGUAGCGGUGAAAUGCGUAGAUAUAUGGAGGAACACCAGUGGCGAAGGCGGCUCUCUGGUCUGUAACUGACGCUGAGGCUCGAAAGCGUGGGGAGCAAACAGG